GAUGAACGCUAGCGGCAGGCUUAAUACAUGCAAGUCGUGGGCAGCAUGAGUAGCAAUACUUGAUGGCGACCGGCAAACGGGUGAGGAACACGUACACAACCUUCCUUCAAGCGGGGAAUAGCCCAGAGAAAUUCGGAUUAAUACCCCAUAAUAUAUUUGAUAAGGCAUCUUAUUAAUAUUAAAGCUUCGGCACUUGAUGAUGGGUGUGCGGCUGAUUAGAUAGUUGCGGGUAACGGCCCACCAAGUCUACGAUCAGUAGCUGAUGUGAGAGCAUGAUCAGCCAACACGGGCACUGAGACACGGGCCCGACUCCCACGGGA
rnacentral:rRNA from 1 species